rnacentral:rRNA from 1 species
GACGAACGCUGGCGACGUGCUUAACACAUGCAAGUCGAACGGAAAAGCCCUGCUUUUGUGGGGUGCUCGAGUGGCGAACGGGUGAGUAACACGUGAGUAACCUGCCCUUGACUUUGGGAUAACUUCAGGAAACUGGGGCUAAUACCGGAUAGGAGCUCCUGCUGCAUGGUGGGGGUUGGAAAGUUUCGGCGGUUGGGGAUGGACUCGCGGCUUAUCAGCUUGUUGGUGGGGUAGUGGCUUACCAAGGCUUUGACGGGUAGCCGGCCUGAGAGGGUGACCGGCCACAUUGGGACUGAGAUACGGCCCAGACUCCUACGGGAGGCAGCAGUGGGGAAUAUUGCACAAUGGGCGGAAGCCUGAUGCAGCAACGCCGCGUGCGGGAUGACGGCCUUCGGGUUGUAAACCGCUUUCGCCUGUGACGAAGCGUGAGUGACGGUAAUGGGUAAAGAAGCACCGGCUAACUACGUG